rnacentral:rRNA from 1 species
GACGAGCGCUGGCGGCGUGCUUAACACAUGCAAGUCGAACGGAAAGGCCUGCUUUCCCUUGUGGAUUGCGGGUACUCGAGUGGCGAACGGGUGAGUAACACGUGAGUGAUCUGCCCCCAACUUGGGUAUAAGCCUGGGAAACUGGGUCUAAUUCCCGAUAGGACUGCAGGGUGGUGCCUGUGGUGGAAAACGAUUUUCUAGUGGUUGGGGAUGAGCUCGCGGCCUAUCAGCUUGUUGGUGGGGUAAUGGCCUACCAAGGCGGCGACGGGUAGCCGGCCUGAGAGGGUGGACGGCCACAUUGGGACUGAGAUACGGCACAGACUCCUACGGGAGGCAGCAGUGGGGAAGAUUGGACGAUGGGCGGAAGCCUGAUGCAGCGACGCAGCGUGGGGGAUGACGGCCUUCGGGUUGUAAACUCCUUUCGACCGCGAGGAAGCCACCUGGUUGGAAGGGUGGUGACGGUAGUGGUAGAAGAAGCACCGGCUGACUACGUG